UAGGGAAUUUUGCGCAAUGGACGAAAGUCUGACGCAGCAAUACCGCGUGUGGGAAGAAGCUCCGUGGAGUGUAAACCACUGUCGGAUGGGAAGAAUUAAUGACGGUACCAUCAAAGGAAGCACCGGCUAACUCUGUGCCAGCAGCCGCGGUAAUACAGAGGGUGCAAGCGUUGUCCGGAUUUAUUGGGCGUAAAGCGUCUGUAGGCUGCUUAACAAGUCUGGAGUGAAAGAAUGGAGCUCAACUCCAUACCCGCUUCGGAAACUGUUAAGCUAGAGACAGCUAGGGGUUCGUGGAAUUUCCAGUGUAGCGGUGAAAUGCGUAGAUAUUGGAAGGAACACCAGAGGCGAAGGCGGCGAACUGGAGCUGUUCUGACGCUGAGAGACGAAAGCCAGGGGAGCG
rnacentral:rRNA from 1 species